CUUGCUCCCGGGUCGUUGUAUGUGCCGCUAGCAUCCGAGCACAGUGCUGAAGGCCGACGGUGGUGGUGGUGGUUCUCCUGGGUGGUGGUGGUCCUGUGUGCUGUGUGAUCCCUUUUUAAGAUUUUCUUUGUUUACACGUCACCUUUUGCUGUGUGUGUGUGGGGUGUCCUCCUUUUCCUUUUGGAUGUCACUUCCCCUACCAAACCCCCUCUCCAGCCGGUAAGCCUCAGACUACAUCCCCCUUUUAGUUGGGCUCUUUUCUUUUUUUGUGUUACAGUGUCAACCUCAUGAUUGUUUUAAUAAUAAAUUGUUAGACAUGA